rnacentral:rRNA from 1 species
AGUGAACGUUGGCGGUAGGCCUAACACAUGCAAGUCGAACGGCAGCACAGUAAGAGCUUGCUCUUACGGGUGGCGAGUGGCGGACGGGUGAGGAAUACAUCGGAAUCUACUUUUUCGUGGGGGAUAACGUAGGGAAACUUACGCUAAUACCGCAUACGACCUACGGGUGAAAGCAGGGGAUCUUCGGACCUUUCGCGAUUGAAUGAGCCGAUGUCGGAUUAGCUAGUUGGCGGGGUAAAGGCCCACCAAGGCGACGAUCCGUAGCUGGUCUGAGAGGAUGAUCAGCCACACUGGAACUGAGACACGGUCCAGACUCCUACGGGAGGCAGCAGUGGGGAAUAUUGGACAAUGGGCGCAAGCCUGAUCCAGCCAUACCGCGUGAGUGAAGAAGGCCUUCGGGUUGUAAAGCCCUUUUGUUGGGAAAGAAAAGCAGCAGGUUAAUACCCCGCUGUUCUGACGGUACCCAAAGAAUAAGCACCGGCUAACUUCGUG